GGGUGAAGGCGAAUCCGUUUGGUGAUGCGAAGCCCCGGGAAGUUCUGCUGCAGGAGCGGGGUAAGGAUUGGCGGAAGAUUGAUAGCAAGCUUGAGCAUGGCCGCGUAAACAGACCCGAGACAAAUGAAGAAAAACUGCUGAAAGAAGAGAUUGAUAAUCUCAACAAGGCAUUAGUGAAGGAAGGCGAGAAAAAUCAAAAUGACAAUUCCUCUCAAGCAUUGGCUGACCUCCGUGAGCGGAUAAAUCAGAG
rnacentral:misc_RNA from 1 species